rnacentral:rRNA from 1 species
AACGAACGCUGGCGGCAUGCCUAACACAUGCAAGUCGAACGAGACCUUCGGGUCUAGUGGCGCACGGGUGCGUAACGCGUGGGAACCUGCCCUUAGGUUCGGAAUAACUCCCCGAAAGGGGUGCUAAUACCGGAUAAUGUCUUCGGACCAAAGAUUUAUCGCCUUUGGAUGGGCCCGCGUUGGAUUAGCUAGUUGGUAGGGUAAAAGCCUACCAAGGCGACGAUCCAUAGCUGGUCUGAGAGGAUGAUCAGCCACACUGGGACUGAGACACGGCCCAGACGCCUACGGGAGGCAGCAGUGGGGAAUAUUGGACGAUGGGCGAAAGCCUGAUCCAGCAAUGCCGCGUGAGUGAUGAAGGCCUUAGGGUUGUAAAGCUCUUUUACCCGGGAUGAUAAUGACAGUACCGGGAGAAUAAGCUCCGGCUAACUCCGUG